rnacentral:rRNA from 1 species
GGAUUAGAUACCCGGGUAGUCCACGCCGUAAACGAUGGAUACUAGCUGUUGGAGGUAUCGACCCCUUCAGUAGCGAAGCUAACGCGUUAAGUAUCCCGCCUGUGGAGUACGGUCGCAAGACUAAAACAUAAAGGAAUUGACGGGGAUCAGCACAAGCGGUGGAUUAUGUUCUUUAAUUCGAUGAUAACCGAUGAACCUUACCAGGGUUUGACAUCCAGGAAAGCACUACGAAAGUAGAGUGCGCCUUUUGGAAUCCUGUGACAGGUGUUGCAUGGCCGUCGUCAGCUCGUGUCGUGAGAUGUUUGGUUAAGUCCAUCAACGAGCGCAACCCUUGUGAAUAGUUGUAUUUUUCUAUUCAGACUGCUCUAGUAAUAGGGAGGAAGGAGGGGAUGAU